rnacentral:rRNA from 1 species
UGGGGAAUCUUCCGCAAUGGACGAAAGUCUGACGGAGCGACGCCGCGUGAGUGAUGAAGGCCUUCGGGUCGUAAAGCUCUGUCGUCGGGGACGAACGGCCGCCUCAGGGAAUGGGGGCGGAGUGACGGUACCCGAGAAGGAAGCCACGGCUAACUACGUGCCAGCAGCCGCGGUAAUACGUAGGUGGCAAGCGUUGUCCGGAAUUAUUGGGCGUAAAGCGCGCGCAGGUGGGAUUUUAAGUCCAUUUUGAAAGUUCGGAGCUUAACUCCGUGAUGGGAUGGAAACUGGGAUUCUUGAGUACCGGAGAGGAAAGCGGAAUUCCCCGUGUAGCGGUGAAAUGCGUAGAUAUGGGGAGGAACACCAGUGGCGAAGGCGGCUUUCUGGACGGUGUCUGACACUGAGGCGCGAAAGCCAGGGGAGCGAACGG